rnacentral:rRNA from 1 species
UAGGGAAUCUUCCACAAUGGGCGAAAGCCUGAUGGAGCAACGCCGCGUGUGUGAUGAAGGCUUUCGGGUCGUAAAGCACUGUUGUAUGGGAAGAACAGCUAGAAUAGGAAAUGAUUUUAGUUUGACGGUACCAUACCAGAAAGGGCGCUAAAUACGUGCCAU